rnacentral:rRNA from 1 species
AGCGAACGCUGGCGGCAGGCUUAACACAUGCAAGUCGAGCGGGCACUUUCGGGUGUCAGCGGCGGACGGGUGAGUAACGCGUGGGAACGUGCCCUCUGGUUCGGAAUAACUCAGGGAAACUUGAGCUAAUACCGGAUACGCCCUUUUGGGGAAAGGCUUGCUGCCGGAGGAUCGGCCCGCGUCUGAUUAGCUAGUUGGUGAGGUAACGGCUCACCAAGGCGACGAUCAGUAGCUGGUCUGAGAGGAUGAUCAGCCACACUGGGACUGAGACACGGCCCAGACUCCUACGGGAGGCAGCAGUGGGGAAUAUUGGACAAUGGGCGCAAGCCUGAUCCAGCCAUGCCGCGUGAGUGAUGAAGGCCUUAGGGUUGUAAAGCUCUUUUAUCCGGGACGAUAAUGACGGUACCCGAGGAAUAAGCCCCGGCUAACUUCGUG